CGAGCCUUGGCACAGCCCAGGCAGCGGGGGUCAGGGCAGUGCGGGGUUAUUCCGCACGGGAAGGCCCUCCCCCCGCGCCCGGCCUGGGCACGAACAGCAGCCUCUCCAAAGCCCCAGGACUGCAGGGUCUUUCCAGGUGUCAUGAAGUUAAGGAUCUUGAGAUGAGAUCUUCAUGGAUUAUCCAAGCGAGCCCCAAAUUCAAUGCCCAUGUCCUUAUAAGAGACGCACAGAGACAGGAAUGAGAAGGCGCAGCCGUGUGAAGACAGAGGCAGACAUUGCACUGAUGCAGCCCCAAGCCCGGAAAUACCACGAUGGAAGUCGUAGAAGCUGGAAGAGUUUUGAGAAGCCAUGGUCAGGUAUUUGGAGAAUGUCCCUCGAGUGGAUUUUGCCUGAUGUUCCUCUCGUGAUGCGCCUCGGGUGAUGGAUUCGGGGAGGAGGACCACACAUGAAGUGACUUUCUCAUCACAUCACAUCAAGGAUGUGUAUCAUCAGCAUGACUGCUGACCCUGAAGAUGACCUAGAUGACCUAACGUCUAUCAGAUUUCUCUGUUGUCCAGGGACUUUGUUUUUGUCCAUGAUAUUUUUUUGGUCCAGCUUUAUUGAGAUAUAAGUGUCCAUGAUAUUUUGAGGAAUGAAAAAUGCUAAUUCCAAAAAAAGAAUAUAAAGUAU